AACGUAGGUGGCAAGCGUUAUCCGGAAUUACUGGGCGUAAAGCGUGCGCAGGCGGUCUGUUAAGACCGAUGUGAAAUCCCCGGGCUUAACCCUGGGAAUGGCAUUUGGGACUGCAAGGCUGGAGUGCGGCAGAGGAGACUGGAAUUCCUGGUGUAGCAGUGAAAUGCGUAGAUAUCAGGAGGAAUACCGAUGGCGAAGGCAGGUCUCUGGGCUGACACUGACGCUCAUGCACGAA
rnacentral:rRNA from 1 species